CAAUAGCGUAUAUUAAAGUUGUUGCAGUUAAAAAGCUCGUAGUUGGAUUUCUGGUGGGAAAGGGAGCUCCGGGCAAACGCCUGCGUAGUUCAUCUUAUCCCGCCAUCCUUGGGGAAAACUUGUCUGGCAUUAAGUUGUCGGGCUUGGGAUCCUCAUCGUUUACUGUGAAAAAUUAGAGUGUUCAAAGCAGGCUUACGCCAUUGAAUACAUUAGCAUGGAAUAAUAAGAUAGGACCUUGGUACUAUUUUGUUGGUUUGCGUACCUAGGUAAUGAUUAAUAGGGACAGUUGGGGGUAUUUGUAUUUCGUUGUCAGAGGUGAAAUUCUUGGAUUUACGAAAGACAAACUACUGCGAAAGCAUUUACCAAGGAUGUUUUCAUUAAUCAAGAACGAAAGUUAGGGGAUCGAAGACGAUCAGAUACCAU
rnacentral:rRNA from 1 species